rnacentral:miRNA from 1 species
CAUUUUUAAAAUCCAUAUAUAUAUAUGUGUGUGUGUGUGUGUGUGUGUAUGUAUACAUACAUACACACACACACACACACACACACACAUAUAUA